GGGGAAACUGAGGCGCGCGCGGGUGAGAGUGCUGCCUGGCGCGGAGAGCGGCGGAGGUCCCCGGUAGGCACAGGAGACAGGCAGGACCCCCGAGCUGGACGUCCUUGCUUGGGGAGCGAGCCGGUCGUACACUCGUUCGUUCCCUCACUCAUUCAACAUUGAGGGAACGACGACCGUGUGCCGGGACGCCCGCCGCCGCGGCAACAGCCACGAACAAGACAUACAGGGGCGCUGCCCUCACGGAGCUCUCACUCUGCUGGUCUUGAGGCUGCGGGGAAUUUACAGCCUCUUGGUCGCUUAUAAUCACGGUUAUUUAACGUAAUAACCCCGUGAACAGGCCCCCACCACGUGUCAGGCCCAUGCUGACCGCUCGACACGUUUUAUCCAGACGACCUGGAAAGGAAGAACCAUCCCGUUCUUCCGAUGAGGAGCCCGAGGCUCCAAAGAGCUGAAGUACCGCAGCCAGCUUGUGAUGGAGGCAGGAUUCGAGGCCAGGCCUGGCUGUCUGGGAACAGCGAGGAGCCAGUUAGCGCAGUCGUCUCCACUCGUCCACGCAAGAAGGACUAGGUCUGUUCUGUUCAUUGCCACGUCUGCAGAACAGUACCUGGCACACAGUAGGUGCUGAAGACAUGUAUGUUGAAUGAAUGAUCAGACUGCAGAACUACAGGCCUGGCCCAGCUGCACCCUAGCCAAGAGGCCAGACCCAGACCGUGAACUGGAGAUUGAGCAGGAGUAGGGUACAGAGAGGCAGAGGGAAGCCCAGCUUCUGGCUGGCUGCCCUGGAGGCCGGCUCAGAACAGCUCCUGCUCCCAAGUCUGCCCAGCACUGCCCUCAAAGGCUCCUGCCCCGCGGCCCCACCUGGGAGACCAGAGGAGGAACAAGCAGUUCCAGUGAUCUCUGCGGUCACAGCAUCAAGUUCGCAAAGACCUCAUUAAUGGAAUAAUUUGAAACAUAUGGAGACACGGCGCUGCUGAGCUAGAGUAACGGAACCUGGCGUCUGUCGAGUGCUGACCGUCCCAAGCGCCAGGCACCUCAUCUGACCCUCCCCACAACCCCGUAAGUCCCUGAAGACGGUGUCCUGAGAGUGUGUAGCAGGGGGAUGUGACCUGGCCAGGGGCCUGAGAUGUCCUGGAAGAAAAUUUGAGACCUGAUCUGAAAGCUGAGAAAGAACAGAGAGAGGCAGAAGGAUCUUUUCAGGCAGAGGGCACUGCCUGUGCAAAGGCCCAGUGGUCAAGGAACGCCCGGAGGGGAGCGCGUGAGAGACACUGCAGGCCGCAGGGAUCAGGGUGGGAUCCAGACCCGCUGGGUUGGGGCAGCGGGGAGGGUGGCUGAGCUGUAUCCUCAGAGCAGUUCGAGGCCAUGAAAGGAUUUUGGCAUCCCUGGGGAGAUGAGACUCAAAUUAAAUGUCAGAGAGGGGGCUGUGUCUGCCUCGUGGAAAACAAAUCGGAGGGGCCGGGAGCAGGGAGGAGGCUCCUGGAGCCGCUGAGCGACUUGGACUGAGGCAGGGAGGGAGAGAGGGGACGGGUUCAGGGGACUUUUAGCAAA